CUCCCCUGGCAAUGGGGAAAAAGACACCUUGUUGGUGGUGGUGUUCUUAUGACAGUCAGGAGCGGAGCAGAUGACAGUCCUCUGUUUGUCCUAGCUUGAUGCCUGUCUUGGUGGCCAAAGCUGUUUUAUGCUUAAGACAUAUAA
rfam:Mus musculus chromosome X, GRC primary reference assembly.